rnacentral:rRNA from 1 species
UACGUAGGGAGCAAGCGUUAUCCGGAUUUAUUGGGUGUAAAGGGUGCGUAGACGGGAAUUUAAGUUAGUUGUGAAAUCCCUCGGCUUAACUGAGGAACUGCAACUAAAACUGAAUUUCUUGAGUGCGGGAGAGGAAAGUGGAAUUCCUAGUGUAGCGGUGAAAUGCGUAGAUAUUAGGAGGAACACCAGUGGCGAAGGCGAUUUGCUGGGCCAUUACUGACGCUCAUGCACGAAAGCGUGGGGAGCAAAUAGG